AGGACUCAAACUCUGCCUAUGAUCCUUUGCAUUUCUGGCACUACUGGCAAUCACUUACCUGCUUUCUACAACCCCUGAACUUUGAGAUACUCCAGAUGCUAACAGAAGACCCAAGACUUCUGGAUCAGAGAGAAAGGCCUUUUCUACUCAUGGCAAAAUACGCAGUGUAAGCUUCAUGUGUGCAAUGGUUCCCCUUUGCCUCCCAAAUUUCCUAGGGUUGUGUUACAGGAGAGAAACAGAAGCUGGAGAAUCCUCCAUUUUAGAGCAAGCACUAAGUAAACCUGUUUUUUGUCUUGGAGGGAGACAUUAUUUCAUCCCUCAAGGUUGCUCACUGAAAACAUACCAGGUAAAGAGAGGCCACGAGACAAGCUGGUACCUGGGACCUGGGACCUGGGACCCCUUACUGCAGUGCUUGCACCUGGACAAAUGUCUCCUUGAGCAACAAAAUACAGAGAAACUGUGAGGGACUAAAAAUAACUGUGCCCAUGUGCAACUGGGGCAAAUUACAGACAAUAAGAUACAAAAAGACCAAAAAACCCAACUGCUACUUCUGAAGAGCCAGGAGCAAAAACAGUGUGUCGGGAGAGAAAGCAGGGUACUGCACAUGCCCCCUGCACACAACACCACCAAAGGGGUGGGCAGACCACCUAAGCCAACCCUCCAGCCCAACCCACGACAUACCCCUACCCUCACCCCAUAUAAGGAACCUGCUCGCCCCCCUGGGGGAGCGAGCAAGGGCACCUGUUACUUGUUUUUGCUCCCUCCUGCUGCAGCAGGGGCCCCAAUAAAGCCUUGCCUGAUUUCUUG